rnacentral:rRNA from 1 species
GACGUAGGGCGCGAGCGUUGUCCGGAAUUAUUGGGCGUAAAGAGCUCGUAGGCGGCUUGUCACGUCGGCUGUGAAAACCCGGGGCUCAACCCCGGGCCUGCAGCCGAUACGGGCAGACUAGAGUUCGGCAGGGGAGACUGGAAUUCCUGGUGUAGCGGUGAAAUGCGCAGAUAUCAGGAGGAACACCGGUGGCGAAGGCGGGUCUCUGGGCCGAUACUGACGCUGAGGAGCGAAAGCGUGGGGAGCGAACAGG